UUCAGCUUUAGUAGAUGCUGCCAGUUUUCUGAAGUCGUACUGAUUUGCACACCUGCUAACAGUGUAUGAGGUCUCUCUAGCUGCUCCAGAUCCUCACUGACACUUAGUUGUUUAACCUAACCAUUCUGCCCGGGCCCCACGGGGCAGUGUCAGUCACAGCAGCGUGUGAUAUCACUCCAGAUGACAACCCAGAGCGCCCCGCACAUAAGCUGACAGCAAUCGGCUUAUCUGGAAGCCACCCCGGCUGAGUAAGGGGUCACUAUCAGAAUGAUUCGCACAGACUCACGGCAGCAGGAAGUCGGCAGCGGAGGCCUUGCGCCACCCUCACUUGAGUCACUCGGCAUGGCAUGGGUUGAAGCUCAGAGGAGCCUGCCCUCCCCUCUGCUCUCUUCCUCCUUUUCCUGGUUCCUCAGCGUCCUCUCC
ensembl:lncRNA